rnacentral:rRNA from 1 species
UACGUAGGUGGCAAGCGUUGUCCGGAUUUACUGGGCGUAAAGAGCGCGCAGGCGGUCGUACAAGUCGCGUGUGAAAGCCCCCGGCUCAACUGGGGAGGGUCACGCGAUACUGUUCGACUCGAAGGCAGGAGAGGGAAGUGGAAUUCCCGGUGUAGCGGUGAAAUGCGUAGAUAUCGAGAGGAACACCUGCGGCGAAGGCGGGUUGCUGGGCUGACACUGACGCUGAGGCGCGAAAGCUAGGGGAGCGAACGGG